rnacentral:rRNA from 1 species
CAGCGAAACUGGCGAAUGGCUCAUUAUAUAAGUUAUCGUUUAUUUGAUAGUACCUUACUACUUGGAUAACCGUGGUAAUUCUAGAGCUAAUACAUGCUAAAAAUCCCGACUUCGGAAGGGAUGUAUUUAUUAGAUUAAAAACCAAUGCCCUCUGGGCUCCUUGGUGAUUCAUGAUAACUUCUCGAAUCGCAUGGCCUUGCGCCGGCGAUGGUUCAUUCAAAUUUCUUCCCUAUCAACUUUCGAUGUUUGGGUAGUGGCCAAACAUGGUUGCAACGGGUAACGGAGGGUUAGGGCUCGACCCCGGAGAAGGAGCCUGAGAAACGGCUACUACAUCCAAGGAAGGCAGCAGGCGCGCAAAUUACCCAAUCCCGAUUCGGGGAGGUAGUGACAAUAAAUACUGAUACAGGGCUCUUUUGGGUCUUGUAAUUGGAAUGAGUACAAUUUAAAUCCCUUAACGAGGAACAAUUGGAGGGCAAGUCUGGUGCCAGCAGCCGCGGUAAUUCCAGCUCCAAUAGCGUAUAUUAAAGUUGUUGUGGUUAAAAAGCUCGUAGUUGAACCUUGGGCCUGGCUGGCCGGUCCGCCUCACCGCGUGUACUGGUCCGGCCGGGUCUUUCCCUCUGUGGAACCCCAUGCCCUUCACUGGGUGUGGCGGGGAAACAAGACUUUUACUUUGAAAAAAUUAGAGUGCUCCACGCAGGCCUAUGCUCGAAUACAUUAGCGUGGAAUAAUGAAAUAGGACGUGCGGUUCGAUCUUGUUGGUGUCUAUGACCGCCGUCAUGAUUAUUAUGGACAGUCAGGUGCAUCGGUAUUCAGUUGUCGGAGGUGAAAUUCUUGCAUUUAUUUUUGACGAACUACUGCGAGCGCAUUGGCCGGGGAUGUUUUCAUUAAUCAAGAACGACCGUCCGGGGAUCGGAGAGUAUCAGAGCAGUCCUACUCUUAACAUCACUAGGCCAACUAGGGAG